UGAGGAACAUGACCUUCGGCGGGGGAGUAGCCGGCCCAACGGCCGGGUAAUACCGCGUACGACCACUUUGGGACAUCCCUCGGUGGUGAAAGCAGCAAUGCGCCGAUGGAGUGCCUCGCGGCCUAUCAGCUAGUUGGUGAGGUAACGGCUCACCAAGGCGACGACGGGUAGCUGGUCUGAGAGGAUGGCCAGCCACAUUGGGACUGAGACACGGCCCAGACUCCGUACGGGAGCAG
rnacentral:rRNA from 1 species